AGCUCGGGAAGCCUGCAGGCUGUGAGCACGUUGAUCAAAGGUCCCUUUGCGGGCUCAAAUUAACAAGGAGCUGGCGAGCCCGCGCAGCACCUGCCAGCGAAGUGCAGCGCGGCAGCAAACCGGCUCAUCUUGCCGGGAGUAUUCGGAACUGAACCUUGGACUUUAUGAACACAUGGAGUCAUUGAGCCACACCCAACUCUUAUUCUGACAUUUCACUGCUAUCCAGCAUUUACAGAAAAUGUUAGAAAAACUCUACAACGAUGUUAUUUUGAGGUUUAUAAAGUCUUUACAAAAAAUGUGAAGAAAAAUGUAUAUAUUUGUGGCAUCUUGAUCUCUAAUAUAAAUUUCGAAAUGAUUGGAUUGAGCUUAACAUAUCAAAGCUUUUA
rnacentral:lncRNA from 1 species